GACGUAGGGCGCGAGCGUUGUCCGGAUUUAUUGGGCGUAAAGAGCUCGUAGGCGGCUUGUCGCGUCGUCUGUGAAAUCCCGCGGCUCAACUGCGGGUCUGCAGUCGAUACGGGCAGGCUAGAGUUCGGUAGGGGAGACUGGAAUUCCUGGUGUAGCGGUGAAAUGCGCAGAUAUCAGGAGGAACACCGGUGGCGGAGGCGGGUCUCUGGGCCGAUACUGACGCUGAGGAGCGAAAGCGUGGGGAGCGAACAGG
rnacentral:rRNA from 1 species